CCUUGGCCAGGGAGAAUUGGACACCUCCAUUUCCAGUCUGUCUGAGGAUGUGCUCAAUGGAGAGUGAGGGUCCAGGAAGAAAUGGAGAGGGAAUGAAAGCUGAGGAGCUUCAUGUUGACUGACGUUACACUGGUAGCUUGAGCUCAGCAGUGGUGAGCAUAUUUAUACCGCAGGAAUCAGCAGACACUUCAAGUCAAAUGCUUUUUAAUUGGAUAGUUUUCACAUUUAUAGAAAAGUGAGGUUUCGUUGUGUUGGCCGGGCUGGUCUCCAGCUCCUAACCGCGAGUGAUCCGCCAGCCUCGG
rnacentral:lncRNA from 1 species